rnacentral:rRNA from 1 species
UACGUAGGUGGCAAGCGUUGUCCGGAAUUAUUGGGCGUAAAGCGCGCGCAGGCGGCCUCUUAAGUCUGAUGUGAAAUCUUGCGGCUCAACCGCAAGCGGCCAUUGGAAACUGGGGGGCUUGAGUACAGAAGAGGAGAGUGGAAUUCCACGUGUAGCGGUGAAAUGCGUAGAUAUGUGGAGGAACACCAGUGGCGAAGGCGACUCUCUGGUCUGUAACUGACGCUGAGGCGCAAAAGCGUGGGGAGCAAACGGG